UACAGAGGUCUCAAGCGUUGUUCGGAAUUACUGGGCGUAAAGGGCUCGUAGGCGGCCAACUAAGUCAUACGUGAAAUCCCUCGGCUUAACCGGGGAACUGCGUCUGAUACUGGAUGGCUUGAGAUUGGGAGAGGGAUGCGGAAUUCCAGGUGUAGCGGUGAAAUGCGUAGAUAUCUGGAGGAACACCGGUGGCGAAGGCGGCAUCCUGGACCAACACUGACGCUGAGGAGCGAAAGCCAGGGGAGCAAACGGG
rnacentral:rRNA from 1 species